rnacentral:rRNA from 2 species
CACGUAGGGAGCAAGCGUUGUCCGGAUUUAUUGGGCGUAAAGAGCUCGUAGGUGGUUCGAUAAGUCGGGUGUGAAAACUCUGGGCUCAACUCAGAGACGCCACUCGAUACUGUCGUGACUGGAGUCUGGUAGGGGAGUGUGGAAUUCCCAGUGUAGCGGUGAAAUGCGCAGAUAUUGGGAGGAACACCAGUGGCGAAGGCGGCACUCUGGGCCAGUACUGACACUGAGGAGCGAAAGCGUGGGGAGCGAACAGG